GAGAUAUUAAAUGCCUCUGAUGUUUGGGGUGCUUAUAAAGACCAGAAACACGAUCUCUUUCUUCCUUCAAGUGCCCAAGCUGCUGCUGCAGGAGUUGCUGGUCUAAUUGAGAAUUCUUCGUCGAGACUGACAUAUGCCCUGACAGCUCCGCCACCACAACCUACUCAAGCAAGACCACCAGCACAUACAACAUUGGAUUCAAAUGGGAAGCAGGAUCAGUUUUCAUAGGAGUGGAAGAAUUAACUCGGUAGUUUAGAAAGCAUUGUACCUAUCUGUAUGGUCUACUGUACAGCUUUGUUAUCCUUUUAGUUUUUUCACAUGCACGCACUUGGGGCUCAAGUUUGACAACUGAGGCCACAUUUGCAAUUUUCCAGAAAAUUUAAAGAGAUGUAUAGUUAGUGCUACUCGAAAUCAUUUGUAUA
rnacentral:misc_RNA from 1 species